CAUUAAUUUUAAAGUCCAUCAGCCCUCUGCUGCAGAGAGACCAGACUCACCUGCACCCAGCUGUGUGUCCUUCAAGAGUGACCGGUCAAAGCAUCAGCCUCUUGUGUUUAAAAAUGGACGUGAACAACAAUGGAGCUGACAGACAGACAGAUAGACAGACAGACAGGUGGAGCAAGCGGCAAAUUGGUAUGAACGCUGGGUCAGGGCAUAUUCGUCCAUUUAUGAAUAAAUGAUUGACUAGGAAUGUUUUCUUGGCGAUGGCGAGAGCUACAAGAAGAGAGCUGCAGUGGCUGUUUGGGAGGUCAAUUGUCAUCAGGUCACCAAUUAAGCACAGGUUGGGAGAUAAUGGGAUCCUGCAGUCCAAAAUGGAGGAGAGUUUUUGGGUGACUGUAGACCAGAAGUGCUGGACGGGUGAACAUAACCAGAGUGCAUGAAAGUAGGUGUCUGCAGUGUUCUGAGUACACUGAGUGCAUGUGUCAGACUGACUAAAGCCCAUUCUAUUCAUCUUUUGUUGGGUGAUGUGUGUUCUGUGGAGUACUUUAAAUUAGAUAAGUUGUAUAUUAGUGUGUCUUGUCAUCUUAAAUGUAUUUUUGCAUAUCUGAGUCCAGAAGUCAGGGUCCGAUGAUACACCCAGCUCUUUUUCCCAUUUUAAAAUUGGUAAAUGUAUAGAACUGGUCUUUGACAGUAAUUUUUUGUGUUGACAUCCUGUUGCUAGGCUACAUCUUCUUCUUCUUCUUCUUCUUCUCCUUCUACUGUUUAAUGGGGACCCGCGGGACCCGGCGGGACCCGGCGGGACCCAAUCCCAAUGCAGCCCUCUAUGUCAGAGUACAAAAGUUACCCGGGCCAUGGCCCCCCUGGGCCCCCGGUUCCGCGGUCUAUGCCUGUAGACCUGUAUCAUCACUCCCCAGUUUCUGCUGUGCUGAUCCUGAUGUGUCCUUAUAGGGAGUGACGGUGUCAGAGCCUACGAUAUCUACAUAUCAACUCUGCACUUAUUCUGAAUUCACAUUAUGAUCCGUUUCACCUGAACUUGACUGAACUUUUCUUGUUGAUAGCUGGUAGUUUCUCCAGAAGCUGCUGUGGCUGGAAGGUAAAAAACUCCUCUUUGUUUGUUUGUACUUCAGGAUCCAUCAGAGACCAGACUCACCUGCACCCAGAUGUGUAUCCUUCAAAAGUGACCGA